GCAAACACAUCCGUCUCUCUCUCUCUCUCUCUCUCCCCUACUACUAUCUCCUCCUGCCCUUCCAAUUUAUGUUACAAACAAAUCGUUGGUUCCUCUUUUUUCUUCAGUUUGUUUCAGUGCAACUCAGUUCUUGGAAAGAAAGGUUGGAUUUUUACUCUGAACAAAGCGAAAGGUGUGGCAAUGGGCGGCAGCGGAACGCUGAUCUCCAUUUACCCUGAGGAUCUCACUUUCCUAUUUGAGCUGGAUAAGCGGUGCUAUUGCAAUCUCAAGGUGGUGAACAACAGCGAGCAUCAUGCUGCAUUCAAGGUCCAUGGCCUUCCAUUUCAUGACCAAUAUUUUCUAAAACUUGGCGAGAAGGCUUGAUGAAAGUUUGUUUCAUGUCAAGACGACAUUACCGAGGAAGUAUUUUGUCCGGCCGAACACGAGCAUUGUCCAGCCAUGGGAUUCUUGCACAAUAACAAGUAAAUAGUACCUUCGCCGCAUAAUAAGUUAAUCUAAUACGAGAUGUGACAUAUCCCAGUACUUGUCCAAAUUCAUAGUACUAGUAUAUAUCACAUCUUGUAUUAGAUUAAUUUAUUCUGGGACGGAGGGAAUACAUGUUCCUAAUUUGGCCAUUUUAUGGUAUGCCAAGCCAUGGCUCUCUUCAGGCUCCUUGUUUGGUCUUGAUAUUUGGAUAUCUGCAUUGUUCUUGGGUGAUGUAGUUACGCUCCAGGCACAUAAAUAGUGCCCACCAAAUAUGCAAUGCAAGGAUAAAUUCUUGAUCCA